UACGGAGGAUGCGAGCGUUAUCCGGAUUUAUUGGGUUUAAAGGGUGCGCAGGCGGUCUGUUAAGUCAGCGGUCAAAUGUCGGGGCUCAACCCCGGCCUGCCGUUGAAACUGGCGGCCUCGAGUGGGCGAGAAGUAUGCGGAAUGCGUGGUGUAGCGGUGAAAUGCAUAGAUAUCACGCAGAACUCCGAUCGCGAAGGCAGCCUACCGGCGCGCAACUGACGCUCAUGCACGAAAGCGUGGGUAUCGAACAGG
rnacentral:rRNA from 1 species